rnacentral:rRNA from 1 species
CAGUCGCCACGGUAAUACAGAGGAUGCAAGCGUUAUCCGGAAUGAUUGGGCGUAAAGCGUCUGUAGGUGGCUUUUCAAGUCCGCCGUCAAAUCCCAGGGCUCAACCCUGGACAGGCGGUGGAAACUACCAAGCUGGAGUACGGUAGGGGCAGAGGGAAUUUCCGGUGGAGCGGUGAAAUGCGUAGAGAUGUGGAGGAACACCAGUGGCGAAGGCGACUCUCUGGUCUGUAACUGACGCUGAGGCACGAAAGCGUGGGGAGCAAACAGGAUUAGAUACCCCAGUAGUCCCUGUCUCUUAUAC